GGUAAAGUCAGCACAAAUAAAGUGGGCUCAUGAUAUGAGCCCACUUUAUUUGUGCUGACUUUACCAU
rnacentral:miRNA from 1 species